AUUGAACGCUGGCGGCAUGCCUUACACAUGCAAGUCGAACGGUAACAGGUUAAGCUGACGAGUGGCGAACGGGUGAGUAAUAUAUCGGAACGUGCCCAGUCGUGGGGGAUAACUGCUCGAAAGAGCAGCUAAUACCGCAUACGACCUGAGGGUGAAAGCGGGGGAUCGCAAGACCUCGCGCGAUUGGAGCGGCCGAUAUCAGAUUAGGUAGUUGGUGGGGUAAAGGCCUACCAAGCCUACGAUCUGUAGCUGGUCUGAGAGGACGACCAGCCACACUGGGACUGAGACAAGGCCCCGACUCCUACGGGGGGCAGCAGUGGGGAAGUUUGGAACAUGGACGCCAGUCUGAUCCAGCCAUGCCGCGUGCGGGAAGAAGGCCUUCGGGUUGUAAACCGCUUUUGUCAGGGAAGAAAAGGUUCUGGUUAAUACCUGGGACUCAUGACGGUACCUGAAGAAUAAGCACCGGCUAACUACGUGCCAGCAGCCGCAGUAAUAC
rnacentral:rRNA from 1 species